rnacentral:misc_RNA from 1 species
CAACACCAUACUUCUAAGCCUUAGCUUAACGCCACAUUGCUUUAACUCACCUAGUCAAAAUGGCCGAGUCACCAUCCAUUUCUGGCUCCAAUUUCAGGUCUGUGGAUCGAGCUUAUACUGAGAUUGUUGUAGUUCGUCACGGUGAAACAGAGUGGAAUGCUGUUGGAAGAAUUCAGGGACAUCUUGAUGUUGAUUUGAAUGAAGUAGGGAGACAACAAGCAUCUAAGGUGGCUGCUCGACUUUCCAGGGAGCCUAAAAUCUCUGCUGUGUAUUCUUCUGAUUUGAAACGAGCUCUUGAGACAGCAGAAACUAUUGCUGCCUGCUGUGGUGGUCUAGAGGUUAUUAAAGAUGCUAACCUAUGGGAAAGGCAUUUGGGAGAUCUUCAAGGCCUUGUACUACGUGAAGCUGCUAAAGUUAGUCCUAACGCUUACCAGGCCUUUUUAUCCCACAGAACCAAUCAAGUUAUCCCAGGUGGUGGAGAAAGCCUUGAUCAACUUUAUCAACGUAGUACAUCUGCUUUGCAAAGAAUUGCUAGGAAGCAUAGAGGAGAGCGAGUGGUUGUGGUUACUCAUGGAGGUGUCAUAAGGGCAUUAUACAGGCGAGCUUGCCCAAAUACUAAGCCCGCAGGGAAAGUAUUGAACACAUCGAUUAAUGUUUUUCACUUAUUCGAUGGGGACAAAUGGACUGUUAAAAUUUGGGGUGAUGUUAGCCAUCUUGAUGAGACAGAGUAUCUGGCAUCUGGUUUUGGUGGCGACAGAACUUCUGGUUAGUUUUUUUUUCGGUCGGAUGAAGUGCUGCUGAGUGCUUUGCAAUUAAUUCCGUGCUCCAAGUAAAUGAAAUGCAGUAACUAUAAGAUGAGGAAGGACACAUUCUGUCAUUAUGGAAGGUACUAUUUUCUCAUGAUUCUUUACCUAUAUGGCUCUGAUCUGUUCUAACAUUUAUUAACUGAAACAGCAGUAUUUUUUUGGCCUUAAUAAAUGUGAAAGAAUCACCUC